UUCGGGUUUAGUGGCGGACGGGUGAGUAACGCGUGAGAAUCUGCCUCUAGGUCGGGGACAACAACUGGAAACGGUUGCUAAUACCCGAUGUGCAGCAAUGUGAAAGAUUUAUUGCCUAGAGAUGAGCUCGCGUCUGAUUAGCUAGUAGGUGUGGUAAUGGCGCACCUAGGCGACGAUCAGUAACUGGUCUGAGAGGAUGACCAGUCACACUGGGACUGAGACACGGCCCAGACUCCUACGGGAGGCAGCAGUGGGGAAUUUUCCGCAAUGGGCGAAAGCCUGACGGAGCAAUACCGCGUGAGGGACGAAGGCUUUUGGGUCGUAAACCUCUUUUCCCUGAGAAGAAGAUCUGACGGUAUCAGGGGAAUCAGCAUCGGCUAACUUCGUGCCAGCAGCCGCGGUAAUACGAGGGAUGCAAGCGUUAUCCGGAAUUAUUGGGCGUAAAGCGUCCGCAGGUGGCUCUGUAAGUCUGUCGUUAAAGAAUGGGGCUCAACCCCAUACAGGCGAUGGAAACUACAAGGCUAGAGUUUGGUAGGGGUCACGGGAAUUCCUAGUGUAGCGGUGAAAUGCGUAGAUAUUAGGAAGAACACCAGCGGCGAAAGCGCGUGACUGGGCCAGUACUGACACUCAUGGACGAAAGCUAGGGGAGCGAAAGGGAUUAGAUACCCCUGUAGUCCUAGCCGUAAACGAUGAU
rnacentral:rRNA from 1 species